rnacentral:misc_RNA from 1 species
CAACCCUUAAGCCUAGCUUAGUGUUGGGAGACUGCCUAAUACGCAGCUCCUCAAAACCAGUGGCGGAGUCUGUUCGUGCUCUGAGCGUAGUAAUCUUUUAUCUCGCUUCUGUAAGCCGGUCAGACGACAGCCAUAAACCGCACCCUUCGGGGGCACUUUUUUAAU